rnacentral:SRP_RNA from 1 species
ACUGGGCACGGUGGCGCGUGCCUGUAGUCCCAGCUACUCGAGAGGCUGAGGUGGGAGGAUCGCUUGAGCCCAGGAGUUCUGGGCUGUAGUGUGUUAUACCGAUCCGGUGUCUGCACUAAGUUUGGCAUCAAUAUGGUGACCUCCCAGGAGCAGGGGACCACCAGGUUGCCUAAGGAGGGGUGAACCGGCCCAGGUUGGAAAUGGAGCAGGUCAAAACUCCGGUGCUGAUCAGUAGUGGGAUCACACCUGUGAAUAGCCACUGCACUCCAGCCUGGGCAACAUAGCAAGACCCCAUCUCU